GAUGAACGCUAGCGGCAGGCCUAACACAUGCAAGUCGAGGGGUAGAGGGUGCUUGCAUCCUUGAGACCGGCGCACGGGUGCGUAACGCGUAUGCAACCUGCCUUCCACAGGGGAAUAGCCCAGAGAAAUUUGGAUUAAUGCCCCAUGGCACAGCGAGACGGCAUCGUCUUGCUGUUAAAGUAACAACGGUGGAAGAUGGGCAUGCGUCCCAUUAGCUAGUUGGUAAGGUAACGGCUUACCAAGGCUAUGAUGGGUAGGGGUCCUGAGAGGGAGAUCCCCCACACUGGUACUGAGACACGGACCAGACUCCUACGGGAGGCAGCAGUGAGGAAUAUUGGUCAAUGGUCGCAAGACUGAACCAGCCAUGCCGCGUGCAGGAUGACGGUCCUAUGGAUUGUAAACUGCUUUUGUACGGGAAGAAACACUCCUACGUGUAGGGGCUUGACGGUACCGUAAGAAUAAGGAUCGGCUAACUCCGUGCCAGCCGCCGCCGUAACAC
rnacentral:rRNA from 1 species